CACUCCCUCCCUCCGUUCCGAAUUACUUGUCUUGGAUUUGUCUAGAUACGGAUGUAUCUAGACUCAUUUUAGUGCUAGAUACCUCCGUAUCUAGACAAAUCUAAGACAAGUAAUUCGGAACGGAGAGAGUAGAAA
rfam:Triticum aestivum genome assembly, contig: Triticum_aestivum_CS42_TGACv1_scaffold_211054_3AS